rnacentral:rRNA from 1 species
GGUGAAAGGCUUGCUGCCUGAAGAUAAGCUCGCGUCUGAUUAGCUAGUUGGUGGGGUAAGAGCCUACCAAGGCGACGAUCAGUAGCUGGUCUGAGAGGAUGAUCAGCCACACUGGGACUGAGACACGGCCCAGACUCCUACGGGAGGCAGCAGUGGGGAAUUUUCCGCAAUGGGCGAAAGCCUGACGGAGCAAUACCGCGUGAGGGAGGAAGGCUCUUGGGUCGUAAACCUCUUUUCUCAGGGAAGAAAAAAAUGACGGUACCUGAGGAAUAAGCAUCGGCUAACUCCGUGCCAGCAGCCGCGGUAAUACGGAGGAUGCAAGCGUUAUCCGGAAUGAUUGGGCGUAAAGGGUCCGCAGGUGGUACUGUAAGUCUGCUGUUAAAGAGCAAGGCUCAACCUUGUAAAAGCGGUGGAAACUACAGAACUAGAGUGCGUUCGGGGCAGAAGGAAUUCCUGGUGUAGCGGUGAAAUGCGUAGAUAUCAGGAAGAACACCGGUGG